ACUCCUACGGGAGGCAGCAGUGGGGAAUAUUGCACMAUGGGCGCAAGCCUGAUGCGGCAACGCCGCGUGAGGGACGACGGCCUUCGGGUUGUAAACCUCUUUUAGUAGGGAAGAAGCGAAAGUGACGGUACCUGCAGAAAAAGCACCGGCUAACUACGUGCCAGCAGCCGCGGUAAUACGUAGGGUGCAAGCGUUAUCCGGAAUUAUUGGGCGUAAAGAGCUCGUAGGCGGUUUGUCGCGUCUGCUGUGAAAACUGGAGGCUCAACCUCCAGCCUGCAGUGGGUACGGGCAGACUAGAGUGCGGUAGGGGAGAUUGGAAUUCCUGGUGUAGCGGUGGAAUGCGCAGAUAUCAGGAGGAACACCGAUGGCGAAGGCAGAUCUCUGGGCCGUAACUGACGCUGAGGAGCGAAAGCAUGGGGAGCGAACAGGAUUAGAUACCCUGGUAGUCCAUGCCGUAAACGUUGGGAACUAGAUGUAGGGGCCAUUCCACGGUUUCUGUGUCGCAGCUAACGCAUUAAGUUCCCCGCCUGGGGAGUACGGCCGCAAGGCUAAAACUCAAAGGAAUUGACGGGGGCCCGCACAAGCGGCGGAGCAUGCGGAUUAAUUCGAUGCAACGCGAAGAACCUUACCAAGGCUUGACAUAUACCGGAAAAGUUCAGAAAUGUUCUCCCCGCAAGGUCGGUAUACAGGUGGUGCAUGGUUGUCGUCAGCUCGUGUCGUGAGAUGUUGGGUUAAGUCCCGCAACGAGCGCAACCCUCGUUCUAUGUUGCCAGCACGUCAUGGUGGGAACUCAUAGGAGACUGCCGGGGUCAACUCGGA
rnacentral:rRNA from 1 species